rnacentral:lncRNA from 10 species
AGUUGCGCCCCCGGCCCGCACACACCCCGGCUCAUCUUCUCCCGGUCCCCUUGUCUCGCGCCUUCUCCAGCCCUAGAAGUUGCCCCAGGGCCCCUCCCGGGAUUAGAGAGCGCUGUGAAGGGCCAGAUGUUGGGGGUCUUUUGUGCAGACACACGCGCCUGGGGCGCUUGCUCCUGGAAGGACAGCGGCAGGACAAAGCCAGCUGGACUCGUGGGGCGCUGCUCGGGAAGCGGCGGUCCCCAAUCCCGCCUGGGGUCGGGGCAUGGCUUGGGGAGCGCUGCCUGGGUCUGGAGAGAGUAGAGAAAUCGCCAAAGCAGAGUGACGGUGACUUGAUGAGGCUGAAGAAAGCUCAGUCUCAAUUGUGUUUCCUGCCUGUCAGCCUCUUGCCUCCUAAACGUGUACCAUUUCCACUUGAUGUCAUCACGCAGAAGGGGUGAAAGAGACUCGGUGACAGAUACAGAUCCCAUCUCUGAAUCCCUGAUUCCAACUGGAAAUGGCCUUUGCUGCCUCCAACAUCUUGCAGACCAUGGCAUAUCCCAGGGGAUGGCC